rnacentral:lncRNA from 1 species
UAUUAUUUAAUUAAUUAAUUUUAUUGAGACAGAGUCUUGCUCUGUUGCCCCAGGCUGGAGUGAGUGGUGCAAUCACAGCUCACUGCAACCUCUGCCUCCCGGGCUCAAAUCAUCCUCCCACCUCAGCCUCCUGAGUAGCUGGAACCACAGGUGUAUGCCACCAGGCCAAGCUAAUUUUUGUAUUUUUGAUAGAGACAGGGUUUCACCAUGUUGCUCGUGUUGGUCUUGAACUCCUAGGCUAAAGCGAUCCACCCCACUCAGACUCAAAAAGUAUUAAGACUAUGGGUCUGAGCCACUUUGCCCAGCCUAAUAUUGUUUGUUAAAAUUUUUUAUUUAUUUAUUUAUCUUUUGCUUUUGUUUUUCUGUUUUAAUUUUUAGAUUUCUAUUUUUUUCAAUAUUGUGUUUUAAGAGUUUACUUACCUGAGGCCUGCAGCCUAAUCUUUGCCAUAUCUCCCCAAGUGUUCUGUGAGUGCUAAUAUAGUGGUAUGUUCAUAGAUAUUUGUUUUGUGGGGAUUGCAAGGAUUUGGGGAAGCCAGGUUCAAAGUGUCUUUUACCAAAGGACUUCUUGGAAGCCUUAAUGCCAUUUUCUGUUUUUCCCAAAUUUGUUAAUUAGUGCUCCUGACAGCAUCUCAGAGGACGAUGCCCUCUGGCUUACUCUCUGGGAAAUGCUGCUCUGUUGGAAAUCUGGAGUUCUGAGUGAUUCCCAUGUGUUUUCUGCUGCACAGCAGGACAUGCUGAAGUGAUUCCUUCAUGAGCAGAUGUUAGAGGUCUCCUUUUGACAGCUUGUUACAAAAUUGAUCACAAAUAUACUAUUAGGUAUAUAUUGGGUGAAGGAGCAUUAUGUAUGAAACCUCUCACAAAACAGCUCCUACUUUCAAGAAUGAAAAAGGUAUCCCAGCACUUUGGGAGGCCAAGGUGGAUGGAUCACAAGGUCAGGAGAUCGAGACCAUCCUGGCUAACACGGUGAAACCGCGUCUCUACUAAAAAAAUAGAAAAAAAAUUAGCUGGGCGUGAUGGCAGACUCCUGUAGUCCCAGUAGUAGAGUCAACCACUUUUAGGCAGCCCCCCUGUACUUGGGAGGCUGAGGCAGGAG